rnacentral:rRNA from 1 species
GAGAGUUUGAUCCUGGCUCAGAAUCAACGCUGGCGGCGUGCCUAACACAUGCAAGUCGAACGAGAAAGGGACUUCGGUCCUGAGUACAGUGGCGCACGGGUGAGUAACACGUGACUAACCUACCCUCGAGUGGGGAAUAACUUCGGGAAACCGAGGCUAAUACCGCAUAAUACCCACGGGUCAAAGGAGCAAUUCGCUUGAGGAGGGGGUCGCGGCCGAUUAGCUAGUUGGCGGGGUAAUGGCCCACCAAGGCAGUGAUCGGUAUCCGGCCUGAGAGGGCGCACGGACACACUGGAACUGAAACACGGUCCAGACUCCUACGGGAGGCAGCAGUGGGGAAUUUUGCGCAAUGGGGGAAACCCUGACGCAGCAACGCCGCGUGGAGGAUGAAGUCUCUUGGGACGUAAACUCCUUUCGAUCGGAACGAUUAUGACGGUACCGGAAGAAGAAGCCCCGGCUAACUUCGUGCCAGCAGCCGCGGUAAUACGAGGGGGGCGAGCGUUGUUCGGAAUUAUUGGGCGUAAAGGGCGUGUAGGCGGAUCGGCGUGUCCGG